GGCUUCCUCCAUCAGCUGCUCUUAAUGAUAAAGCAAUGAGUUGGAUUUAACCACUUCCUGCCACCUACUGCCUUUUUGCCGAUGAUGUCUCUUCAGGGAAUAGAUCUUAAAGCAGAAUUUAUGGGCCAGCUGAGCCUGCAGAAGAGGUUUCCACGCCUGGCUUCCUGCCCCCAUGGUCCUGAUGCAGGAGAAAGCAGCAGCUCAGAUCCAGAGUUUAUCGGGUGGAGGAGGAGAGAGCUUGUGUCCUGUCCCCCUGGGGCUCUUCCCUGCCCUCUGUGUUUGCUUCAGCCGCCCCCCUGGAGCAUCUGGCACCAGCAUCGUGCACAGGCACUGCUCAGGGUCCAAGUGUGGCCUCGUGACAUAGAUCAUCAGGAUUUCAGAUGAUUUGAGAAGAAUGUCCCCUGCCCCCAACUCAGACCACCCCUAGACUAGAAUUUCACAGGAACAUCAUCCUUUCUUUGGCAAAGCAUUCUUCAUCUUAUAAAUGGCAGAUUCUCCUGAGGAUGGAAAAGCACCAAGCCUCCCUUCUAAUGUGAAUCUUCAUGGUCAAAGGUCAGUUUCAAUGAUUAGACUUUGAUGGCUUAUGUACUUUCUGUUCACUCUGUGGUCCUUGGUCAGCAGCAUCUCACCCCUGCCCCCAACUUCCAGCCCCUGUUGUAAAAGUAAUCUCUGGUAUUGCCUCAGAACUUCAGAAGUAGAAUCUGCAUUUUAAGACAUCCCCAGGUGAUGUGUGUGUGGAUUAAAUUUUGAGAGGCACUGAUCUAAAAGCCCGAGACUGAAUGUGGCCAGGAGCAGCCAGGUGAGGGAUGGAAGGAGGACCAGAUGAGAUAGUUUCGCCUAGUGAGCAAAGCACACCCAUUCUAGCACUGCAUUUAAAGUUCUUAAGAUGUACACAGAGCAGAAAGCAGCUGGAAGAGCAAGGCCAAGUCCCUGACUGUGAGUCAACUUUUAGAUCAAUAGCAACUUCUCCUGGUGGCCUGGUGGGAACAGAACCCUGGGCCUCCAGAGAACACUAAUGAAGAUAAGGGCGAUACUGUCUGGCUGAUAUCUGCUAGGCAAUCUCCCAUCACAAAACACCACUUCACAGAAAUCUGGACACCACGCGUGGAGGAGGUGGAAGAGGGCAGGGCUAGAAGAUUCUGUACUUGGGUCUGGAGCCCCCUCUGUGAGGUUUCUUCUGAUUCAUUCAGCCAAGCGUGGUGCAAGCCACUGAGAAGAGACUAGACUUGGGGCCACAUGGCCUCUCCUUGUGAUGAAUUAAGUUCGUAAGUUCAAAUUUUACAAACCCAUUCCCGAAACGUCAGCAUUUCAGUAAUUCCAGUGAAAUCUCAUAGACUACACACUCAGGAGAUCUUUGUCAUGUCCAUGGACUUUUGGCUGACCUAGGUUCUCAACUUCAUAGUGGGCCACUUGGAGGCUCCCAUCUGAAAUGAGCUAAAACGGGAGCUCUCCUCUGCAGGAAUUCACAGUGCAUCUACAUGUGUGCCUGUAAAGUGAGGUGGCUUUCUCAUUCAAAUCACCGUCAGAUCUACUUGAGGUUCCUGGUUAGAAUAUGUCAUCUUCUAUGAAAUAGACUGAUGUUAAAGCUAAUGCUCCAGUAGUUUGGCCACCUGAUGUGAAGAGCCAACUCAUUGGAAAAGACCCUGAUGCUGGGAAAUAUUGAGGGCAAAAGGAGAAGGGUGCAGCAGAAGAUGAGAAGGGGACUGGAAUGCAAAAGUAGAGUGUCAAGAGACACCUGGAGUAACAGGCAAAUUUGGCUUUGGAGUACAGAAUGAAGUAGGGCAAAGGCUAAUAG
ensembl:lncRNA